rnacentral:rRNA from 1 species
UCGUCAUAUGCUUGUCACAAAGAUUAAGCCAUGCAUGUCUAAGUAUAAACUAAUUAUACGGUGAAACUGCGAAUGGCUCAUUAAAUCAGUUAUAGUCUACUUGAUCGUACAAAUUUUCUUACUUGGAUAACCGUAGGAAAUCUAGGGCUAAUACAUGCUAAAAACGCUGACUAUCGGGGGCAACUCCGGUCCGGAAGGCGUGAAUUUAUUAGAUUAAAAACCAAUGUGGGGUUCGCCCCACUGAAAUUCCUAGACGAUUCAUGAUAACGCAUCGAAU